AUUAACCGGAUUAGAUACCCUGGUAGUCCACGCCCUAAACGAUGUCUACUAGUUGUCGGGUUUUAAUUAACUUGGUAACGCAGCUAACGCGUGAAGUAGACCGCCUGGGGAGUACGGUCGCAAGAUUAAAACUCAAAGGAAUUGACGGGGACCCGCACAAGCGGUGGAUGAUGUGGAUUAAUUCGAUGCAACGCGAAAAACCUUACCUACCCUUGACAUGUACGGAAGGCCGAAGAGAUUUGGCUGUGCUCGAAAGAGAACCGUAACACAGGUGCUGCAUGGCUGUCGUCAGCUCGUGUCGUGAGAUGUUGGGUUAAGUCCCGCAACGAGCGCAACCCUUGUCAUUAGUUGCUACGAAAGGGCACUCUAAUGAGACUGCCGGUGACAAACCGGAGGAAGGUGGGGAUGACGUCAAGUCCUCAUGGCCCUUAUGGGUAGGGCUUCACACGUCAUACAAUGGUACAUACAGAGCGCCGCCAACCCGCGAGGGGGAGCUAAUCGCAGAAAGUGUAUCGUAGUCCGGAUUGUAGUCUGCAACUCGACUGCAUGAAGUUGGAAUCGCUAGUAAUCGCGGAUCAGCAUGUCGCGGUGAAUACGUUCCCGGGUCUUGUACACACCGCCCGUCACACCAUGGGAGCGGGUUUUACCAGAAGUAGGUAGCUUAACCGCAAGGAGGGCGCUUACCACGGUAGGAUUCGUGACUGGGGUGAAGUCGUAACAAGGUAGCCGUA
rnacentral:rRNA from 1 species